UUCUUCAUUAUCUUUUUAUAUUUUCUUUUUUUUCACAUGCAAUUGUUAUUUGGAGCUUCUUAUCAGAGUACUACUCAAGGAACUCAGAACGAGAAUGAUCCCAAUAAUACAACUAUAUUUGUUGUUGGUUUAGAUUC